rnacentral:rRNA from 1 species
UGGUACUUGUACCGAUUGGAUGAGUUGCGAACGGGUGAGUAACGCGUAGGUAACCUGCCUGGUAGCGGGGGAUAACUAUUGGAAACGAUAGCUAAUACCGCAUAACAGUUGUGAUUGCAUGAUGACAACUUGAAAGGGGCAAUUGCUCCACUAUCAGAUGGACCUGCGUUGUAUUAGCUAGUUGGUGGGGUAACGGCUCACCAAGGCGACGAUACAUAGCCGACCUGAGAGGGUGAUCGGCCACACUGGGACUGAGACACGGCCCAGACUCCUACGGGAGGCAGCAGUAGGGAAUCUUCGGCAAUGGGGGCAACCCUGACCGAGCAACGCCGCGUGAGUGAAGAAGGUUUUCGGAUCGUAAAGCUCUGUUGUAAGAGAAGAACUGUAGCAGGAGUGGAAAAUCUGCUACUUGACGGUAUCUUACCAGAAAGGGACGGCUAACUACGUGCCAGCAGCCGCGGUAAUACGUAGGUCCCGAGCGUUAUCCGGAUUUAUUGGGCGUAAAGCGAGCGCAGGCGGUUAGAUAAGUCUGAAGUCAAAGGCUGUGGCUCAACCAUAGUUUGCUUUGGAAACUGUUUAACUUGAGUGCAAGAGGGGAGAGUGGAAUUCCAUGUGUAGCGGUGAAAUGCGUAGAUAUAUGGAGGAACACCUGUGGCGAAAGCGGCUCUCUGGCUUGUAACUGACGCUGAGGCUCGAAAGCGUGGGUAGCGAACAGGAUUAGAUACCCUGGUAGUCCACGCCGUAAACGAUGAGUGCUAGGUGUUAGGCCCUUUCCGGGGCUUAGUGCCGCAGCUAACGCAUUAAGCACUCCGCCUGGGGAGUACGACCGCAAGGUUGAAACUCAAAGGAAUUGACGGGGGCCCGCACAAGCGGUGGAGCAUGUGGUUUAA